CAUGCGGUCCUUAUCAGGACCACCCAAUCAUUCCAAGAAAAGCUAU
rfam:Lingula anatina scaffold44, whole genome shotgun sequence.